rnacentral:rRNA from 1 species
AUACGGAGGGUGCGAGCGUUAAUCGGAAUUACUGGGCGUAAAGCGUACGUAGGCGGUUGGUUAAGUUAGAUGUGAAAGCCCCGGGCUUAACCUGGGAACUGCAUUUAAAACUGGCGAACUAGAGUUGAGUAGAGGGGAGUGGAAUUUCAGGUGUAGCGGUGAAAUGCGUAGAGAUCAGAAGGAACACCAGUGGCGAAGGCGACUCCCUGGACUCGAACUGACGCUGAGGUACGAAAGCGUGGGUAGCAAACGGGAUUAGAAACCCGGGUAGUCC